GCCGGAGUAGCUCAGUUGGUUAGAGCGGGCGUUUCAUACGCGCUAGGUCAGGGGUUCGACUCCCUUCUCCGGCA
rnacentral:tRNA from 1 species